rnacentral:rRNA from 1 species
AGUGAACGCUGGCGGUAGGCCUAACACAUGCAAGUCGAACGGCAGCACAGGAGAGCUUGCUCUCUGGGUGGCGAGUGGCGACGGGUGAGGAAUGCAUCGGAAUCUACUUUUCGUGGGGGAUAACGUAGGGAAACUUACGCUAAUACCGCAUACGCCCUACGGGGGAAAGCCGGGGACCUUCGGGCCUGGCGCGGAUAAAUGAGCCGAUGUCCGAUUAGCUAGUUGGCGGGUAAAAGCCCACCAAGGCGACGAUCGGUAGCUGGUCUGAGAGGAUGAUCAGCCACACUGGAACUGAGACACGGUCCAGACUCCUACGGGAGGCAGCAGUGGGGAAUAUUGGACAAUGGGCGCAAGCCUGAUCCAGCCAUACCGCGUGGGUGAAGAAGGCCUUCGGGUUGUAAAGCCCUUUUGUUGGGAAAGAAAAGCCAUGGGUUAAUACCCUGUGGUUCUGACGGUACCCAAAGAAUAAGCACCGGCUAACUUCGUG